rnacentral:rRNA from 1 species
GGGGGCGUGCUUAACACAUGCAAGUCGAACGAAGCGGUUUAGCGGAAGUUUUCGGAUGGAAGUUAAACUGACUGAGUGGCGGACGGGUGAGUAACGCGUGGGUAACCUGCCUCACACAGGGGGACAACAGCUAGAAAUGGCUGCUAAUACCGCAUAAGCGCACAGUUUCGCAUGAAGCAGUGUGAAAAACUCCGGUGGUGUGAGAUGGACCCGCGUCUGAUUAGCUGGUUGGUGAGGUAACGGCUCACCAAGGCGACGAUCAGUAGCCGACCUGAGAGGGUGACCGGCCACAUUGGGACUGAGACACGGCCCAAACUCCUACGGGAGGCAGCAGUGGGGAAUAUUGCACAAUGGGGGAAACCCUGAUGCAGCGACGCCGCGUGAGUGAAGAAGUACUUCGGUAUGUAAAGCUCUAUCAGCAGGGAAGAGAAUGACGGUACCUGACUAAGAAGCCCCGGCUAACUACGUGCCAGCAGCCGCGGUAAUACGUAGGGGGCAAGCGUUAUCCGGAUUUACUGGGUGUAAAGGGAGCGUAGACGGCUUAGCAAGUCUGAAGUGAAAGCCCGGGGCUCAACCCCGGGACUGCUUUGGAGACUGUUAAGCUGGAGUGCUGGAGAGGUAAGCGGAAUUCCUAGUGUAGCGGUGAAAUGCGUAGAUAUUAGGAGGAACACCAGUGGCGAAGGCGGCUUACUGGACAGUAACUGACGUUGAGGCUCGAAAGCGUGGGGAG